UGGCGGACGGGUGAGUAACGCGUGGGUAACCUGCCUUGUACUGGGGGACAACAGUUGGAAACGACUGCUAAUACCGCAUAAGCGCACAGCUUCGCAUGAAGCAGUGUGAAAAACUCCGGUGGUACAAGAUGGACCCGCGUCUGAUUAGCUGGUUGGUGAGGUAACGGCCACCAAGGCGACGAUCAGUAGCCGGCCUGAGAGGGUGAACGGCCACAUUGGGACUGAGACACGGCCCAAACUCCUACGGGAGGCAGCAUG
rnacentral:rRNA from 1 species